rnacentral:rRNA from 1 species
AUUGAACGCUGGCGGCAGGCCUAACACAUGCAAGUCGAGCGAGCGGCGGACGGGUGAGUAAUGUAUGGGGACUGCCCGAUAGAGGGGGAUAACUACUGGAAACGGUGGCUAAUACCGCAUACUAUCGGAUAACCCAUAUGGGAUUAGCGAGUGGGUGGGGAAAAGGCUCACCUAGGCGACGAUCUCUAGCUGGUCGGAGAGGAGGAUGAGCCAAAUUGGAACGAGGAAACGGCCCAGAUUCCUACGGAGGCAGCAGUGGGGAAUAUUGGACAAGGGGCGAAAGCCGGAUGCAGCCAUGCCGCGGGGAGGAAGAAGGCCUUAGGGUUGUAAAGUAUUUUCAGCGGGGAGGCGUUACCCGCAGAAGAAGCACCGGCUAACUCCGUGCCAGCAGCCGCGGUAAUAC